rnacentral:rRNA from 1 species
GACGAACGCUGGCGGCGUGCUUAACACAUGCAAGUCGAACGGAAAGGCCCUGCUUUUGUGGGGUGCUCGAGUGGCGAACGGGUGAGUAACACGUGAGUAACCUGCCCUUGACUUUGGGAUAACUUCAGGAAACUGGGGCUAAUACCGGAUAGGAGCUCCUGCUGCAUGGUGGGGGUUGGAAAGUUUCGGCGGUUGGGGAUGGACUCGCGGCUUAUCAGCUUGUUGGUGGGGUAGUGGCUUACCAAGGCUUUGACGGGUAGCCGGCCUGAGAGGGUGACCGGCCACAUUGGGACUGAGAUACGGCCCAGACUCCUACGGGAGGCAGCAGUGGGGAAUGUUGCACAAGGGGCGGAAGCCUGAUGCAGCAACGCCGCGUGCGGGAUGACGGCCUUCGGGUUGUAAACCGCUUUCGCCUGUGACGAAGCGUGAGUGACGGUAAUGGGUAAAGAAGCACCGGCUAACUACGUG